GGAAGGUUGCCGGAGCGGUUAACGGAACGGUUUGCUAAACCGUGGCCUCCUUAAAGGGGCCCGUGGGUUCGAAUCCCACACCUUCCGCCA
rnacentral:tRNA from 1 species